GAUGAACGCUGGCGGCGUGCCUAAUACAUGCAAGUCGAGCGAACUGAUUAGAAGCUUGCUUCUAUGACGUUAGCGGCGGACGGGUGAGUAACACGUGGGCAACCUGCCUGUAAGACUAGGAUAACUUCGGGAAACCGAAGCUAAUACCGGAUAGGAUCUUCUCCUUCAUGGGAGAUGAUUGAAAGAUGGUUUCGGCUAUCACUUACAGAUGGGCCCGCGGUGCAUUAGCUAGUUGGUGAGGUAACGGCUCACCAAGGCAACGAUGCAUAGCCGACCUGAGAGGGUGAUCGGCCACACUGGGACUGAGACACUGCCCAGACUCCUACGGGAGGCAGCAGUAGGGAAUCUUCCGCAAUGGACGAAAGUCUGACGGAGCAACGCCGCGUGAGUGAUGAAGGCUUUCGGGUCGUAAAACUCUGUUGUUAGGGAAGAACAAGUACGAGAGUAACUGCUCGUACCUUGACGGUACCUAACCAGAAAGCCACGGCUAACUACGUGCCAGCCGCCGCGGUAACAC
rnacentral:rRNA from 1 species